rnacentral:lncRNA from 1 species
CCUUUCUCGCUUCAUCCGCGGUCCCUGUCUGUUUUCGUUAUGGCGCCUUGUACUUCUACCCAACGUUGCCCGCCCCCCAUCUUCCCAGCCCACCAGCUCCGUCCGCCUCUCCGGAUGAUUCGUGAGAUACCGAGCCUGCCGGGAAGGGACCGGAUUUUUCCGUCUGGUCCAAGGAAGCACGGGUUAUGGCCACAUGCGCAGUGAUAACUCAGGGCCCCACGCCUUUUGACCCCUGUUGAUGAAGAUUGUGAGGAGGGAGACCAGAAGAUAAUGGACAACGAUACAGCAGAAGGGUCUGGUUACACUUGAGCUUAUUUCUUGGAAGAGUCUGAGAAGACGGCCUGUCAGGCUCCUAACACUAAGAAAAAUUCCACAAGAGGAUCUCCUGGAAGCUAGCAGAAGUUUUUGGCUUGUACAUUGCCAGGCAGCCAUUGGAAUCGGAGCUGCAGUCAGAUUAAGGCCAGCCUGGCCUACAUUGAGAAACCUCAUUUUGGGAAAGUGAAAUACUUUGUCAAUUAACAUGCAGUUGGUUCAAUAAAGACUUUUGGAAAGUGUCCUCU